AAAUUAUCAUGUUUGGUAUAUUUAUUAAAUUUAAAAGUAUAGUUUAUUCAGACAAUAAUUACAAAUGUAUUAAUUGAAUUUACUGUAAAAUGCUUUUAAUUUGUGUUACAAAUGGAGCUAUAAUUUGAUGAACUCUAAGGAACCUAGCAUCUCUUAGUUUUUGCCAGUUUAUGAGAAGCAGGCAAAAAUUAAAGUUGAAAAUAGAAGAAACCAUCAACAAACUUAUUAUGUAUUCUGGACUUAGUCUCCUCCACAGUGUCAAGUAGAUACAGAAAGCACUCAUUUUUAGAAAAAGAGCUGAGAAAAAAGG